rnacentral:tRNA from 1 species
GCGGAUGUGGCGGAACUGGCAGACGCGCUAGGUUCAGGACCUAGUGGGGCUUAAACCCCAUGGGAGUUCGAAUCUCCCCAUCCGCACCA